GGCUCAGAUUGAACGCUGGCGGCAGGCCUAACACAUGCAAGUCGGACGGUAGCACAGAGAGCUUGCUCUUGGGUGACGAGUGGCGGACGGGUGAGUAAUGUCUGGGGAUCUGCCCGAUAGAGGGGGAUAACCACUGGAAACGGUGGCUAAUACCGCAUAACGUCGCAAGACCAAAGAGGGGGACCUUCGGGCCUCUCACUAUCGGAUGAACCCAGAUGGGAUUAGCUAGUAGGCGGGGUAAUGGCCCACCUAGGCGACGAUCCCUAGCUGGUCUGAGAGGAUGACCAGCCACACUGGAACUGAGACACGGUCCAGACUCCUACGGGAGGCAGCAGUGGGGAAUAUUGCACAAUGGGCGCAAGCCUGAUGCAGCCAUGCCGCGUGUAUGAAGAAGGCCUUCGGGUUGUAAAGUACUUUCAGCGGGGAGGAAGGCGACGGGGUUAAUAACCCUGUCGAUUGACGUUACCCGCAGA
rnacentral:rRNA from 1 species